GAUGAACGCUGGCGGCGUGCCUAAUACAUGCAAGUCGAGCGAACGGACGAGAAGCUUGCCUCUCUGAUGUUAGCGGCGGACGGGUGAGUAACACGUGGAUAACCUACCUAUAAGACUGGGAUAACUUCGGGAAACCGGAGCUAAUACCGGAUAAUAUUUUGAACCGCAUGGUUCAAAAGUGAAAGACGGUCUUGCUGUCACUUAUAGAUGGAUCCGCGCUGCAUUAGCUAGUUGGUAAGGUAACGGCUUACCAAGGCAACGAUGCAUAGCCGACCUGAGAGGGUGAUCGGCCACACUGGAACUGAGACACGGUCCAGACUCCUACGGGAGGCAGCAGUAGGGAAUCUUCCGCAAUGGGCGAAAGCCUGACGGAGCAACGCCGCGUGAAUGAUGAAGGUCUUCGGAUCGUAAAACUCUGUUAUUAGGGAAGAACAUAUGUGUAAGUAACUGUGCACAUCUUGACGGUACCUAAUCAGAAAGCCACGGCUAACUACGUG
rnacentral:rRNA from 1 species